CAUGAAGCAGCAAUGGGACGACGGCGGCGGCAAGCAGAAGGUGGCCGUAUAAGUCUAUCCCACAGGGUCGUUCAUCUCUCACCCUUUUCUUUCUCCAGAUCGAAGUCGACAUCUGGGGCGGUUGACCGGGGGCGACGCUGAUGGGGCGGCGGAUGUGUGUGCCUGGAUCGUUGGAGCGCGAAGAGUGGCGCCGGCAUCAUGGUGGUGAAUGCUGACCGCUUCAUGAGUCGUAACCAAGAGCUGGGGAGAGGUUGUGGGUCUCGUUGGGAACGCGGUUGGCGGCCUCCUCGGGGUGGACACGGUCCAGGCGCCCUGACCGAACCGCGACCGAUCUGGACAGGACCGGACCGAAGUUUCCUGACGAAGAGCCAAUUCAUCUAUGGUAGCGUCUCUACAUACAUGAAGCUCGUCCUAGGGAACUCCGCCGCCCGCCGGCACCGUCACUGUCAGCACAUACUAGACAUCGUUUGUGGGGGACAACCAUGAUGAAAUCGACUUGAGUUCCUGGGGAGCAAGAUGCGGCACACCAUCGUGUUUGUCUACACCCGAAGUGCCCUUCGAGCGAACACACGUGAACCAGAGAUUGCUCGAGGAAGAAGGAAGACAGAGGGGCCUGAGAUUUGUUCAACAGUGUUUGCCAACAUCACCGGAAAGAAGGAGGUGCAGUUCAGGCCCAGCGUGCGUGCAUGCACGGGCUGUACCGCUUCAUCGCGUCAGGAAGGCCGAGGACGUGACAACUGCGACAAAUUUGACGGAGGCAGACGGCGACCGUGGUCGUGGAAGAGAGGAUGUGUGCGUCGUGUAGGCGGCGUCCGGCCUAAUUCCUGAGCUGUAGGUGGGCUAGCUUGAAAAAUUCAGAGAAGAUCCAAGGUACAUGUGGCUGUGUGUUGCCAACAUACAAUCUUGUAGCUUAAUUUAUGCUGAUUAUGCAUGGCAAAAUUUUGCCAAGAAGAUGCAAAAAAAAAAAUUUA